CGUCCUUCAGCUGGCCCCUAAACAAAUAUAUAAUAGUUCAGUGAUAAUGAACGCCAUACUAAUUUCCAAAUGGUACACAAGAAACUAAAAUUAAAAUAAUACAAGACUAACAAAGGUCAGAGGCUCCUGACUUGGGACAGGCGCAAAAAUGCGGCGGGGUUAAACAUGUUUGUGAGAUCUCAACCCUCCCCUAUACCUCUAGCCAAUGUAGAAAAGUAAACGCAUAACAAUACGCACAUUAAAAUUCAU
rnacentral:lncRNA from 1 species